rnacentral:rRNA from 1 species
UACAGAGGGUGCGAGCGUUAAUCGGAAUUACUGGGCGUAAAGCGCACGUAGUCGGCUUUGCAAGUCGGGUGUGAAAUCCCCGGGCUCAACCUGGGAACUGCAUCCGAGACUGCAUUGCUAGAGUAUGGGAGAGGGAAGCGGAAUUUCUGGUGUAGCAGUGAAAUGCGUAGAUAUCAGAAGGAACAUCAGUGGCGAAGGCGAGUCCCUGGACAACUCCUGACACUGAGGCACGAAAGCUAGGGGAGCAAACAGG